AGGACGAACGCUGGCGGCGUGCUUAACACAUGCAAGUCGAGCGAAGUCCAACCGGUGGCAACACCGGGGAAGGCUUAGCGGCGAACGGGUGAGUAACACGUGAGUAACCUGCCCUGGACUUUGGGAUAACCCUCGGAAACGGGGGCUAAUACCGGAUAUGACACGCGGAUGCAUGUUUGUGUGUGGAAAGAUUUUUGGUCUGGGAUGGGCUCGCGGCCUAUCAGCUUGUUGGUGGGGUGAUGGCCUACCAAGGCGACGACGGGUA
rnacentral:rRNA from 1 species